CUCAAUGAACUGUAGCUUCCCAGUAACGAGGCACUUAUGGAGGCCCAGACCAUGACAAUCCCACCACCAUGCUUGACUGUGGGCAAGAAAUACUUGUCUUUGUACUCCUCACCUGGUUGCCGCCCCACACGCUUGACACCACCUGAACCAAAUAAGUUUAUCUUGGUCUCAUCAGACCACAGGACAUGUUUCCAGUAAUCCAUGUCCUUAGUCUUCUUGUCUUCAGCAAACUGUUUGCAGGCUUUCGUGUGCAUCAUCUUUAGAAGAGGCUUCCUUCUGGGAUGACAGCCAUGCAGACCAGUUUGAUGCAGUGUGCGGCGGAUGGUCUAAGCACUGACAGGCUGAUCCCCCACCCCUUCAACCUCUGCAGCAAUGCUGGCAGCACUCAUAUGUCAAUUUCCCAAAGACAACCUCUGGAUAUGACACUGAGCACGUGC